GCAUUUGCUCAAAAAGUAUAAAGCUAGAACAUUAAGGAACAACGUACCAUUAAACUCGACGGUCUCCAAUUGCAUAGAUAAGAGGAUCACCUACAGACAUCGAUAAUUUCCUUAGAUCUGACAACAACUAGAAGGUUUGAAAUAGAAAAUGGCAUCGAAGCUCAUCAAUGCUGCGUUUCUUCUGGUCGUUCUUGUGGGCGCAACCAUUGCCAACACCACAAGCGACGUGGAACGAGACAGCGAGACCUUUCCCCUUAAUAUGGACGUUGAUGAGGAGAUACAACAUGACAUGGGAGAUCUUGAAUCUGUAGCAAGGUGGGACAGGGACCCAGAAGAUGUGCUGGAUAACGGGAUAGGAUGGUAGAGGAGUGUACAAAGGCGCCAAUGAGACAUGCUUAACAUGCCUCUCGAGGACAGAGUCAGAGAAAAAUGGAACAUCGAAAAGAGCUGACAGGCCGACGUAAUGAA